CAGUAGCCGCGGUAAAACGAAGGGUGCAAGCGUUAAUCGGAAUUACUGGGCGUAAAGCGUGCGUAGGCGGUUUGUUAAGUCUGCUGUGAAAUCCCCGGGCUCAACCUGGGAAUGGCAGUGGAUACUGGCAAGCUAGAGUGUGUCAGAGGAUGGUGGAAUUCCCGGUGUAGCAGUGAAAUGCGUAGAUAUGCGGAGGAACACCGAUGGCGAAGGCAGCCCCCUGGGCCAACACUGACGCUCAUGCACGAAAGCGUGGGGAGCAAACAGGAUUAGAUACCCCCGUAGUCCCUGUCUCUUAUAC
rnacentral:rRNA from 1 species